UACGUAGGGGGCUAGCGUUGUCCGGAAUCAUUGGGCGUAAAGAGCGUGUAGGCGGUCCGGUAAGUCCGCUGUGAAAGUCGGGGGCUCAACCCUCGAAUGCCGGUGGAUACUGUCGGGCUAGAGUACGGAAGAGGCGAGUGGAAUUCCUGGUGUAGCGGUGAAAUGCGCAGAUAUCAGGAAGAACACCAAUGGCGAAGGCAGCUCUCUGGGACGGUACUGACGCUGAGACGCGAAAGCGUGGGGAGCGAACAGG
rnacentral:rRNA from 1 species